rfam:TPA: Bos taurus chromosome 4, whole genome shotgun sequence.
UCCCUGAUAGCUCAGUGGGUAAAGAAUCUGCCUGCCAUGCAGGAGACCCCCGUUCAAUUUCUGGGUUGGGAAG